rnacentral:rRNA from 1 species
GACGAACGCUGGCGGCGUGCUUAACACAUGCAAGUCGAACGAACUCGACCUUCGGGUCAUAUGAGUUAGUGGCGAACGGGUGAGUAACGCGUGAGAAACCUGCCCUAGAGUUUGGGAUAACCAAAGGAAACUUUGGCUAAUACCAGAUAUUCCCUUACCUUCGAAUGAAGGUUUGGGAAAAGAUUUAUCGCUUUGGGAUGGUCUCGCGACCUAUCAGCUUGUUGGUGAGGUAAUGGCUCACCAAGGCAUCGACGGGUAACUAGUCUGAGAGGAUGAUUAGUCACACUGGAACUGAGACACGGUCCAGACUCCUACGGGAGGCAGCAGUGGGGAAUAUUGCACAAUGGGCGAAAGCCUGAUGCAGCGACGCCGCGUGGGGGAUGAAGGCCUUAGGGUCGUAAACCCCUUUCGCUAGGGAAGAAAAUGACGGUACCUAGAGAAGAAGCUCCGGCCAACUACG